CCUAGGUGCCGCAGAAUGGAGUAGCCAUGGAGUGAAGAGUCCCAACACUAGUCUCCCAAGUCUUUGAGGUGAAAAAAUACGUUUUGCCCAAGUUUGACGUGACCGUAAACGCACCGCAGACCUACAGCGUUGCAGUUAUGGGACUGAAAGUUGAGUCUUGUGCCAAAUGUACAUAUGGCCAACCUGUACCUGGUCAAGCCUUAGUGGAAGUGUGCCGUGAUCCAUUUCCAUACAGUCUGCUUCAUAAUUUGAC